GAAAAAGAGCUCAAAGUGUAUUAACGUAUUUAUCCUCCUCCUCCCCACAAAGGAAAGAGUAAGGGCUCAGAUGUCAUUUUUUAGCGCCUUGGACAGUGUGACCGCCCUGUAAACAGGGAUCUGGUCUCUCCUCUUCUGCUCUAUUUAGGUAGAGCUCCUUUUAGUGGGCUGAUGGCAAUAACUUGCCUUUAAGGAGGACAAUUUAUGUCACAUGUCUGUGACUCACAGGUAGUGCAGUAUCCCUUAGUACUUGGGCAGCAUAAUCACCCUGUAUCCAGCGUUCAGGUCUCUGCCCUUUAUUCUUUUGCCUCCAUUCUACUUCAGCCAGUUGGUAUGAGUUCUGACCCUGUAAUUAGGGGAGAGUUUGUGUCCCUCUGGCUUCUGGGGAAUAUUGAGUUCUGUGGAGCCCUGAGCAGUGUGACCGCCCUGUAACUAGGGUCCAGGUCUUUGCUCACUUGCUCGUUUGGCAUUACGCUGUACACUGGCCCACUAGUCAGCGUGACAACCCUGUAAUCAGGGUUCAUGUCACAAGUAUCCAUAGAAUUGGAUAUAUUGGGCCCUUUGAUACUUUGAGGAGCUUGACCUUCCUGUAAUUCAGGUUACGGUCUCUGCUAUUUGGCUAAUCCCAGUGACCACCCUGUAAUCAGGGUACAGGUUGCAUCUCUCUCUUGAAAGCCCGGGGGAUUAAAACUAUUUCAAUAACAUGGGCAGCUUGACCUCCCUGUAACUAGGGUUCGGUCUCCGAGGCCCUUUGGGUCUCUUGGCAUUGUGCUUUCUUCAUAGCCUGAGGCGAGUGACAGCCCUGUAAUCAGGGAAUCUGGUCUUGGCCCUCUGCUGUCUUGGCACUAGGCCAAGUGAGCCAACUGGUCUGAAUGAGCACCCUGUAAACAGGGUACAGGUCUCAGCAGACACUAUUUAUGGUGCCCCCAUGAAACUGUAUCCAGAGUCCUGGCCCUUCACACUGGGCUUCCAACUUGCCUGGAAUUCUGCAGCCAAAUCUCCUGCUUUCUUCCUCGCGUACUGUUCUCUUGGAGACCCAACAUCCUGCUCCCAUUGCAGGCAGCUCCAAGCACAAGUGGACAAGAAGGAAGUGUCAGGAAUGUCAAGCAAAGAAGAGGAAAGAGGACAAGUCACUGAAGAUGGAGAAGAAGAAAAGGGCCUCUGGGCACAGUAA
rnacentral:lncRNA from 1 species